rnacentral:rRNA from 1 species
UUUACGGGAGGCAGCAGUGGGGAAUAUUAGGCAAGGCAGCAAGGGGAAUCCAGGACAACGGGGGCAAGCAUGAAGCCGCCAUGCCGGUAAAGUGAUGAAGGCCGUAGGGUGUAAACUCUUAUCCCGAAGAUAA